rnacentral:rRNA from 1 species
ACGGCGAGUGAGAGGAAGAGCUCAAAGUUGGAACCUGUUUGGCCUAGCUAAACCGGAUUGUAGACUGUAGAAGUGUUUUCCAGGCAAGCCGAGUAAAUAAGUCCUUUGGAACAGGGCAUCAUAGAGGGUGAGAAUCCCGUCUUUGGCUUGAGCAUUUGCCUUUUGUGAUACGCUUUCAAAGAGUCAGGUUGUUUGGGAAUGCAGCCUAAAUUGGGUGGUAAAUCUCACCUAAAGCUAAAUAUUGGCGAGAAACCGAUAGCGAACAAGUACCGUGAGGGAAAGAUGAAAAGAACUUUGAAAAGAGAGUUAAACAGUAUGUGAAAUUGUUAAAAGGGAACCGUUUGGAGCCAGACUGGCUUGUCUGUAAUCAAUCUAGGCUUCGGCCUGGAUGCACUUGCAGGCUAUGCCUGCCAACGACAAUUUGACUUGAGGGAAAAAACUAGGGGAAAUGUGGCCCACUUGUGGGUGUUAUAGUCCCUUAGAAAAUACCUUGGGUUGGAUUGAGGAACGCAGCGAAUGCUUAUUGGCGAGUUUUCCAGGAAGGUUUUCUGAGGUACUACGGUAUCAAGGUUGAUCUUUUUGGUUAUACUUCUAUUCGCUUAGGUUGUUGGCUUAAUGACUCUAAAUGACCCGUCUUGANNNNNGGAACC